rnacentral:rRNA from 1 species
GUGCCAGCCGCCGCGGUAAUACGUAGGGUGCAAGCGUUAAUCGGAAUUACUGGGCGUAAAGCGUGCGCAGGCGGUUUUGUAAGUCUGUUGUGAAAUCCCCGGGCUCAACCUGGGAAUGGCAAUGGAGACUGCAAGGCUAGAGUUUGGCAGAGGGGGGUAGAAUUCCACGUGUAGCAGUGAAAUGCGUAGAUAUGUGGAGGAACACCGAUGGCGAAGGCAGCCCCCUGGGUCAAAACUGACGCUCAUGCACGAAAGCGUGGGGAGCAAACAGGAUUAGAAACCCUGGUAGUCC